rnacentral:RNase_P_RNA from 1 species
CGAGUAAGACAGGUAAUCGCGGCUGCAAAAAGCCGAAAGGCUGCAGGCGAGGAAAGUCCGGGCUUCACAGGGCAGGAUGCCGGAUAACGUCCGGUGGAGGCGACUCCAAGGAUAGUGCAACAGAAAUGAACCGCCUUCUUAAUAUAGAAGGUAAGGGUGGAAGGGCAGUGUAAGAGACUACCGCCCUGCUGGUAACAGCGGGGGCAUAUGUAAACCCCAUCUGAAGCAAGACCGGAUAAAGACUAUGUGGCGGCCCGUCACGUCUUAGGUUGGUUGCUGGAACCUGCCGGUAACGGCAGGUCUAGAUAGAUGAUUACCCAACGACAUAACCCGGCUUAUCGUCUUGCUCGUGUA